UCGGCCAGCACUGGACGCGACCUGCAGGGGCUGAUAUUUUGUGUCAUCGUUUUAAGGAGUAAGUGAGAGAUGCUGCCCGACAGAUUGUCACUAAUUCAGUGUUCCAAAGUCCUGAUCGGGAGUGUGAAGAAGUUCUUUCCAGGGUAAUGUAAUGACGCUGUCCAUCUCUGUGGCACUCUGUCUUCUCAGGAUAAUUAUGUAGUCUCUUCCUUCACAAAGGACUCUGGUGUAGAUUCAAGCUGUAGCCUAC